rnacentral:sRNA from 1 species
UUAAACUUUAAGUACAUAAUUAAUAAUUUUGAACUAAGACCAUGUUAAUUUCAUUAUUACUUUUAAAAAUUAGUUCAAGUGUUAAAAUUUAAAAACGUCGGAAACUAACCGCGCCUAGGCAUCCCGUCCUUAAUUGGUCCGUAAGUCUUGCGGUGUUCGAAGUUUGGCAAUGUUUUCACGUAAUAUAGAUUUGACACUUAAACUCAUUUAAAAA